rnacentral:rRNA from 1 species
CCUACGGGAGGCUGCAGUAGGGAAUAUUGCACAAUGGGGGAAACCCUGAUGCAGCAACGCCGCGUGGAGGAUGAAGGUUUUCGGAUUGUAAACUCCUUUUGUCAGAGAAGAUAAUGACGGUAUCUAACGAAUAAGCACCGGCUAACUCCGUGCCAGCAGCCGCGGUAAUACGGAGGGUGCAAGCGGUACUCGGAAUCACUGGGCGUAAAGAGAGCGUAGGCGGGAUAGCAAGUCAGAUGUGAAAUCCUAUGGCUUAACCAUAGAACUGCAUUUGAAACUGUUAUUCUAGAGUAUGGGAGAGGUAGGUAGAAUGCUUGGUGUAGGGGUGAAAUGCGUAGAGAUCAAGAGGAAUACUCGUUGCGAAGGCGACCUGCUGGAACAUGACUGACGCUGAUGCGCGAAAGCGUGGGGAGCAAACAGGAUUAGAUACCCCUGUAGUC